rnacentral:rRNA from 1 species
GAUGAACGCUGGCGGCGUGCCUAAUACAUGCAAGUCGAGCGAACAGACGAGGAGCUUGCUCCUCUGACGUUAGCGGCGGACGGGUGAGUAACACGUGGAUAACCUACCUAUAAGACUGGGAUAACUUCGGGAAACCGGAGCUAAUACCGGAUAAUAUAUUGAACCGCAUGGUUCAAUAGUGAAAGACGGUUUUGCUGUCACUUAUAGAUGGAUCCGCGCCGCAUUAGCUAGUUGGUAAGGUAACGGCUUACCAAGGCAACGAUGCGUAGCCGACCUGAGAGGGUGAUCGGCGACACUGGAACUGAGACGCGGUCCAGACUCCUACGGGAGGCAGCAGUAGGGAAUCUUCCGCAAUGGGCGAAAGCUUGACGGAGCAACGCCGCGUGAGUGAUGUAGGUCUUCGGAUCGUAAAACUCUGUUAUUAGGGAAGAACAAAUGUGUAAGUAACUAUGCACGUCUUGACGGUACCUAAUCAGAAAGCCACGGCUAACUACGUG